rnacentral:rRNA from 1 species
UGGCGGCGUGCUUAACACAUGCAAGUCGAACGGAAAGGCCCUGCUUUUGUGGGGUGCUCGAGUGGCGAACGGGUGAGUAACACGUGAGUAACCUGCCCUUGACUUUGGGAUAACUUCAGGAAACUGGGGCUAAUACCGGAUAGGAGCUCUUGCUGCAUGGUGGGGGUUGGAAAGUUUCGGCGGUUGGGGAUGGACUCGCGGCUUAUCAGCUUGUUGGUGGGGUAGUGGCUUACCAAGGCUUUGACGGGUAGCCGGCCUGAGAGGGUGACCGGCCACAUUGGGACUGAGAUACGGCCCAGACUCCUACGGGAGGCAGCAGUGGGGAAUAUUGCACAAUGGGCGGAAGCCUGAUGCAGCAACGCCGCGUGCGGGAUGACGGCCUUCGGGUUGUAAACCGCUUUCGCCUGUGACGAAGCGUGAGUGACGGUAAUGGGUAAAGAAGCACCGGCUAACUACGUGCCAGCAGCCGCGGUGAUACGUAGGGUGCGAGCGUUGUCCGGAUUUAUUGGGCGUAAAGGGCUCGUAGGUGGUUGAUCGCGUCGGAAGUGUAAUCUUGGGGCUUAACCCUGAGCGUGCUUUCGAUACGGGUUGACUUGAGGAAGGUAGGGGAGAAUGGAAUUCCUGGUGGAGCGGUGGAAUGCGCAGAUAUCAGGAGGAACACCAGUGGCGAAGGCGGUUCUCUGGGCCUUUCCUGACGCUGAGGAGCGAAAGCGUGGGGAGCGAACAGGCUUAGAUACCCUGGUAGUCCACGCUGUAAACGGUGGGUACUAGGUGUGGGGUCCAUUCCACGGGUUCCGUGCCGUAGCUAACGCUUUAAGUACCCCGCCUGGGGAGUACGGCCGCAAGGCUAAAACUCAAAGGAAUUGACGGGGCCCCGCACAAGCGGCGGAGCAUGCGGAUUAAUUCGAUGCAACGCGUAGAACCUUACCUGGGUUUGACAUGGAUCGGGAGUGCUCAGAGAUGGGUGUGCCUCUUUUGGGGUCGGUUCACAGGUGGUGCAUGGCUGUCGUCAGCUCGUGUCGUGAGAUGUUGGGUUAAGUCCCGCAACGAGCGCAACCCUUGUUCACUGUUGCCAGCACGUUAUGGUGGGGACUCAGUGGAGACCGCCGGGGUCAACUCGGAGGAAGGUGGGGAUGACGUCAAGUCAUCAUGCCCCUUAUGUCCAGGGCUUCACGCAUGCUACAAUGGCUGGUACAGAGAGUGGCGAGCCUGUGAGGGUGAGCGAAUCUCGGAAAGCCGGUCUCAGUUCGGAUUGGGGUCUGCAACUCGACCUCAUGAAGUCGGAGUCGCUAGUAAUCGCAGAUCAGCAACGCUGCGGUGAAUACGUUCCCGGGGCUUGUACACACCGCCCGUCAAGUCAUGAAAGUUGGUAACACCCGAAGCCGGUGGCCUAACCGUUGUGGGGGAGCCGUCGAAGGUGGGACUGGUGAUUAGGA